GCCCGCCUAGCUCAAUCGGAUAGAGCGUCAGACUCUUAUAAAGCGAUCGAUCAUUGAACUAGGAAAUCUGAAGGCUGCGAGUUCGACCCUCGCGGUGGGCU